rnacentral:misc_RNA from 1 species
AUCGGGUAGAACAAUUCGCUACGGGUAAAUUGUUCUCGCAGUUCCCGUAAAUAUCCCGGUUCGUUUUAGGGACAUGGUAUUCUUAAACCCCUAGCCAGCCGUAGAAUGCACAAUCGCUGCCCGCUUGUACGAUGAAGAUGGCAAGUUCUGCUUUCUACUCCGUGUUACGUGAUCCUGCGUGUAUUUCUAUGCGACUGGUCAAUGUCAGGUUUCGAGAAUGCCGCGUGUCCGGUAACGUUAGGCGUGCGAUCGCGCCUCGACUGUAUUUCACUUAUUCAGACUUGG